rnacentral:ncRNA from 1 species
UAAUUUUAAGAUGUUAGUUUGAUUCUGAUUAUUGAUAUUAGUUUUAGGAAAUAUAUAUAUGUUAGUUUUUGCUAAUUAUAUUUAAUAUAAGUUUUAGCAGUAUUUAGUAUUGUAAAUUAAAAUUAUUUAGAUUCGGAUAUUUCUUUUAAUAUUGUAAAUGUUUGUGCCAGCAUACGCGGUUAUACAAUAAAUGUUAAUUAAUAUUAUUGGUUAUUGGAGUUUAUCUUUUGUUUUUUGAAUUUAAUUUAUUUAUUUUGAGGUAAAAUUUAAUUUUUUUUUAAUUUUGUUAAUUGAUUCUUUGAAAUGUAAAGUUUAAACUAGGAUUAGAUACCCUAUUAUUUUAUAAGUUAACUGAUUAUACCAGGGUAGUAGUAGUUAUGUUCUUUAAACCUAAAGAAUUUGGCGGUGUUUUAGUCUAUUCAGAGGAAUUUGUCCCUUAAUCGAUAGUCCCCGAUUGAUUCUUUCUUAGGUUAGUUUUAGAUCAGUAUGUAUAUCGCCGUUAUAGGUUUAUUUUAUUAGAAUUAAUUUGCUUUAUUUUUUAUUGAAAGUUAUUUCAGGUCAAGGUGCAGCUAAUACUUAAGUGGAGAUGAAUUACAAUAUUAUUUUAAUAUAAUGGAUUUAUUUUUGAAAUAUUUUAAUGAAAGUGGAUUUGUUAGUAAUUUUGUUUAUGUUAAUUUUUUGAUUAUGGCUCUAAAAUAAGUACAUAUCGCCCGUCACUCUCAUUAUUUGAGAUAAGUCGUAACAAAGUAGACGUACUGGAAGGUGUGUCUGGGAUGA